UACGUAGGGUGCAAGCGUUAAUCGGAAUUACUGGGCGUAAAGCGUGCGCAGGCGGUUUUCCAAGACAGAUGUGAAAUCCCCGGGCUCAACCUGGGAAUGGCAUUUGUGACUGGAAGGCUAGAGUGUGUCAGAGGGGGGUAGAAUUCCACGUGUAGCAGUGAAAUGCGUAGAGAUGUGGAGGAAUACCGAUGGCGGAGGCAGCCCCCUGGGAUAACACUGACGCUCAUGCACGAAAGCGUGGGGAGCAAACAGG
rnacentral:rRNA from 1 species